AGACGCGCGAAGUGAGGAUCGCCGGCGGGCCCUUCGGGGCGCCGUCGGAGGAAAGUCCGAGCUCCACAGGGCAGGGUGCCGGGUAACGCCCGGGCGCCCCGGCUCACCGAGCCGGGGUGACGGAAAGUGCCGCAGAGAGCAGACCGCCGAUGGCUCCCCUCGGGGGGCACAGGCAAGGGUGAAAGGGUGCGGUAAGAGCGCACCGGGCCGCCGGAGACGGAGGUCGCAGGGUAAACCCCACCUGGAGCAAGGCCGCGUAGAGGACGAGGAGUCGCCCGCUCCGUUCGAGUCCCGGGUAGGCCGCUCGAGGCCGGCAGCAAUGACGGUCCCAGAUAAAUGAUCCUCCUCCGCUCACGCGGAGACAGAACUCGGCUUAUUCCGCGCGUCUCUUG
rnacentral:RNase_P_RNA from 1 species